rnacentral:rRNA from 1 species
GCUACGGGGGGCAGCAGUAGGGAAUAUUGCUCAAUGGGGGAAACCCUGAAGCAGCAACGCCGCGUGGAGGAUGAAGGUUUUCGGAUUGUAAACUCCUUUUGUUAGAGAAGAGAAUGACGGUAUCUAACGAAUAGCACCGGCUAACUCCGUGCCAGCAGCCGAGGUAAUACGGAGGGUGCAAGCGUUACUCGGAAUCACUGGGCGGAAAGAGCGCGUAGGCGGGAUAGCAAGUCAGAUGUGAAAUCCUCUGGCUUCACCAUAGAACUGCAUUUGAAACGGUUAUUCUAGAGUAUGGGAGAGGUAGGUGGCCUUCUUGGUGUAGGCGUCAAAUCCGUAGAGAUCACGAGGAAUACUCAUUGCGAAGGCGACCUGCUAGACCAUACCUGCCGCUGAUGCGCGACAGCGUGGGGAGCAAACAGGAUUAGCUACCCGGGUAGUC